CCUACGGGUGGCUGCAGUGGGGAAUAUUGGACAAUGGGGGCAACCCUGAUCCAGCCAUGCCGCGUGUGUGAAGAAGGCCCUCGGGUUGUAAAGCACUUUCAGUGGGGAAGAACGCCUGGUGGUUAAUACCCAUCAGGAAAGACAUCACUCACAGAAGAAGCACCGGCUAACUCCGUGCCAGCAGCCGCGGUAAUACGGAGGGUGCGAGCGUUAAUCGGAAUUACUGGGCGUAAAGCGCGCGUAGGUGGCUUGAUAAGCCGGUUGUGAAAGCCCCGGGCUCAACCUGGGAACGGCAUCCGGAACUGUCAAGCUAGAGUGCAGGAGAGGAAGGUAGAAUUCCCGGUGUAGCGGUGAAAUGCGUAGAGAUCGGGAGGAAUACCAGUGGCGAAGGCGGCCUUCUGGACUGACACUGACACUGAGGUGCGAAAGCGUGGGUAGCAAACAGGAUUAGAUACCCGUGUAGUC
rnacentral:rRNA from 1 species